CAAUAGCGUAUAUUAAAGUUGUUGCGGUUAAAAAGCUCGUAGUUGGAUUUCUGCUGAGAACGACCGGUCCGCCCUCUGGGUGUGUAUCUGGCUCUUUCUUGGCAUCUUCUUGGUGAACGUUGCUGCACUUGACUGUGUGGAGCGCUACCCAGGACUUUUACUUUGAGGAAAUUAGAGUGUUUCAAGCAGGCAUACGCCUUGAAUACAUUAGCAUGGAAUAAUAAGAUAGGACCUCGGUUCUAUUUUGUUGGUUUCUAGAGCUGAGGUAAUGAUUAAUAGGGAUAGUUGGGGGCAUUCGUAUUUAACUGUCAAAGGUGAAAUUCUUGGAUUUGUUAAAGACGGACUACUGCGAAAGCAUUUGCCAAGGAUGUUUNCAUUGA
rnacentral:rRNA from 1 species